rnacentral:rRNA from 1 species
GACGAACGCUGGCGGCGUGCUUAACACAUGCAAGUCGAACGAUGACGACCGAGCUUGCUCGGUCUGAUUAGUGGCGAACGGGUGAGUAACACGUGAGCAACCUGCCCUUCACUCUGGGAUAACCCCGGGAAAUCGGGGCUAAUACCGGAUAUGAGCUCCUGUCGCAUGGCGGGUGUUGGAAAGUUUUUCGGUGAAGGAUGGGCUCGCGGCCUAUCAGUUUGUUGGUGAGGUAGUGGCUCACCAAGGCGAUGACGGGUAGCCGGCCUGAGAGGGCGACCGGCCACAAUGGGACUGAGACACGGCCCAGACUCCUACGGGAGGCAGCAGUGGGGAAUAUUGCACAAUGGGCGAAAGCCUGAUGCAGCGACGCCGCGUGAGGGAUGACGGCCUUCGGGUUGUAAACAUCUGUCAGCAGGGAAGAAGCGAAAGUGACGGUACCUGCAGAAGAAGCGCCGGCUAACUACGUG